rnacentral:tRNA from 1 species
GGCGGGAAAGGAGCAAACGGAGGCUCGCCGAGUUAUCUCGGAGGACGAGGGUUCGAUUCCCUCUCCCGCCC